rnacentral:rRNA from 1 species
GGGGAAUAUUGCGCAAUGGGCGAAAGCCUGACGCAGCGACGCCGCGUGAGGGAUGAAGGUUCUCGGAUCGUAAACGUCUGUCAGCAGGGAAGAAACCGCAGCGUGCUAAACAGCGGUGCACUGACGGUACCUUCAACGCAAGCACCGACUAACUCCGUGCCAGCAGCCGCGGUAAUCGGAGGGUGCAAGCGUUAAUCGGAAUUACUGGGCGUAAAGCGCACGUAGGCUGCUUUGUAAGUCAGGGGUGAAAUCCCACGGCUCAACCGUGGAACUGCCUUUGAUACUGCUUAGCUUGAAUCCGGGAGAGGCUGGCGGAAUUCCAGGUGUACGAGUGAAAUCCGUAGAUAUCUGGAGGAACAUCAGUGGCGAAGGCGGCCACCUGGACCGGUAUUGACGCUGAGGUGCGAAAGCUUGGGGAGCAAACA